GACGAACGCUGGCGGCGUGCUUAACACAUGCAAGUCGAACGGAAAGGCCCUGCUUUUGUGGGGUGCUCGAGUGGCGAACGGGUGAGUAACACGUGAGUAACCUGCCCUUGACUUUGGGAUAACUUCAGGAAACUGGGUCUAAUACCGGUUAGGGGCUCCUGCUCCAUGUUGGGGGUGGGAAAGUUUCGGCGGUUGGGGAUGGACUCGCGGCUUAUCAGCUUGUUGGUGGGGUGGUGGCUUACCAGGGCUUUGCCGGGUAGCCGGCCUGAGAGGGUGACCGGCCACAUUGGGACUGAGAUACGGCCCAGACUCCUACGGGAGGCAGAAGUGGGGAAUAUUGCACAAUGGGCGGAAGCCUGAUGCAGCAACGCCGCGUGCGGGAUGACGGCCUUCGGGUUGUAAACCGCUUUCGCCUGUGACGAAGCGUGAGUGACGGUAAUGGGUAAAGAAGCACCGGCUAACUACGUG
rnacentral:rRNA from 1 species